GGGUUGUGAGGUUAAGCGACUAAGCGUACACGGUGGAUGCCCUGGCAGUCAGAGGCGAUGAAGGACGUGCUAAUCUGCGAUAAGCGUCGGUAAGGUGAUAUGAACCGUUAUAACCGGCGAUUUCCGAAUGGGGAAACCCAGUGUGAUUCGUCACACUAUCAUUAACUGAAUCCAUAGGUUAAUGAGGCGAACCGGGGGAACUGAAACAUCUAAGUACCCCGAGGAAAAGAAAUCAACCGAGAUUCCCCCAGUAGCGGCGAGCGAACGGGGAGCAGCCCAGAGCCUGAAUCAGUGUGUGUGUUAGUGGAAGCGUCUGGAAAGGCGUGCGAUACAGGGUGACAGCCCCGUACACAAAAAUGCACAUGCUGUGAGCUCGAUGAGUAGGGCGGGACACGUGGUAUCCUGUCUGAAUAUGGGGGGACCAUCCUCCAAGGCUAAAUACUCCUGACUGACCGAUAGUGAACCAGUACCGUGAGGGAAAGGCGAAAAGAACCCCGGCGAGGGGAGUGAAAAAGAACCUGAAACCGUGUACGUACAAGCAGUGGGAGCACAGAGCAAUCUGUGUGACUGCGUACCUUUUGUAUAAUGGGUCAGCGACUUAUAUUCUGUAGCAAGGUUAACCGAAUAGGGGAGCCGAAGGGAAACCGAGUCUUAACUGGGCGUUAAGUUGCAGGGUAUAGACCCGAAACCCGGUGAUCUAGCCAUGGGCAGGUUGAAGGUUGGGUAACACUAACUGGAGGACCGAACCGACUAAUGUUGAAAAAUUAGCGGAUGACUUGUGGCUGGGGGUGAAAGGCCAAUCAAACCGGGAGAUAGCUGGUUCUCCCCGAAAGCUAUUUAGGUAGCGCCUCGUGAAUUCAUCUCCGGGGGUAGAGCACUGUUUCGGCAAGGGGGUCAUCCCGACUUACCAACCCGAUGCAAACUGCGAAUACCGGAGAAUGUUAUCACGGGAGACACACGGCGGGUGCUAACGUCCGUCGUGAAGAGGGAAACAACCCAGACCGCCAGCUAAGGUCCCAAAGUCAUGGUUAAGUGGGAAACGAUGUGGGAAGGCCCAGACAGCCAGGAUGUUGGCUUAGAAGCAGCCAUCAUUUAAAGAAAGCGUAAUAGCUCACUGGUCGAGUCGGCCUGCGCGGAAGAUGUAACGGGGCUAAACCAUGCACCGAAGCUGCGGCAGCGACGCUGAUGCGUUGUUGGGUAGGGGAGCGUUCUGUAAGCCUGUGAAGGUGUACUGUGAGGUAUGCUGGAGGUAUCAGAAGUGCGAAUGCUGACAUAAGUAACGAUAAAGCGGGUGAAAAGCCCGCUCGCCGGAAGACCAAGGGUUCCUGUCCAACGUUAAUCGGGGCAGGGUGAGUCGACCCCUAAGGCGAGGCCGAAAGGCGUAGUCGAUGGGAAACAGGUUAAUAUUCCUGUACUUGGUGUUACUGCGAAGGGGGGACGGAGAAGGCUAUGUUGGCCGGGCGACGGUUGUCCCGGUUUAAGCGUGUAGGCUGGUUUUCCAGGCAAAUCCGGAAAAUCAAGGCUGAGGCGUGAUGACGAGGCACUACGGUGCUGAAGCAACAAAUGCCCUGCUUCCAGGAAAAGCCUCUAAGCAUCAGGUAACAUCAAAUCGUACCCCAAACCGACACAGGUGGUCAGGUAGAGAAUACCAAGGCGCUUGAGAGAACUCGGGUGAAGGAACUAGGCAAAAUGGUGCCGUAACUUCGGGAGAAGGCACGCUGAUAUGUAGGUGAAGUCCCUCGCGGAUGGAGCUGAAAUCAGUCGAAGAUACCAGCUGGCUGCAACUGUUUAUUAAAAACACAGCACUGUGCAAACACGAAAGUGGACGUAUACGGUGUGACGCCUGCCCGGUGCCGGAAGGUUAAUUGAUGGGGUCAGCGCAAGCGAAGCUCUUGAUCGAAGCCCCGGUAAACGGCGGCCGUAACUAUAACGGUCCUAAGGUAGCGAAAUUCCUUGUCGGGUAAGUUCCGACCUGCACGAAUGGCGUAAUGAUGGCCAGGCUGUCUCCACCCGAGACUCAGUGAAAUUGAACUCGCUGUGAAGAUGCAGUGUACCCGCGGCAAGACGGAAAGACCCCGUGAACCUUUACUAUAGCUUGACACUGAACAUUGAGCCUUGAUGUGUAGGAUAGGUGGGAGGCUUUGAAGUGUGGACGCCAGUCUGCAUGGAGCCGACCUUGAAAUACCACCCUUUAAUGUUUGAUGUUCUAACGUUGACCCGUAAUCCGGGUUGCGGACAGUGUCUGGUGGGUAGUUUGACUGGGGCGGUCUCCUCCUAAAGAGUAACGGAGGAGCACGAAGGUUGGCUAAUCCUGGUCGGACAUCAGGAGGUUAGUGCAAUGGCAUAAGCCAGCUUGACUGCGAGCGUGACGGCGCGAGCAGGUGCGAAAGCAGGUCAUAGUGAUCCGGUGGUUCUGAAUGGAAGGGCCAUCGCUCAACGGAUAAAAGGUACUCCGGGGAUAACAGGCUGAUACCGCCCAAGAGUUCAUAUCGACGGCGGUGUUUGGCACCUCGAUGUCGGCUCAUCACAUCCUGGGGCUGAAGUAGGUCCCAAGGGUAUGGCUGUUCGCCAUUUAAAGUGGUACGCGAGCUGGGUUUAGAACGUCGUGAGACAGUUCGGUCCCUAUCUGCCGUGGGCGCUGGAGAACUGAGGGGGGCUGCUCCUAGUACGAGAGGACCGGAGUGGACGCAUCACUGGUGUUCGGGUUGUCAUGCCAAUGGCACUGCCCGGUAGCUAAAUGCGGAAGAGAUAAGUGCUGAAAGCAUCUAAGCACGAAACUUGCCCCGAGAUGAGUUCUCCCUGACUCCUUGAGAGUCCUGAAGGAACGUUGAAGACGACGACGUUGAUAGGCCGGGUGUGUAAGCGCAGCGAUGCGUUGAGCUAACCGGUACUAAUGAACCGUGAGGCUUAACCUUACAACGCCGAAGGUGUUU
rnacentral:rRNA from 1 species